rnacentral:rRNA from 1 species
AUUGAACGCUGGCGGCAGGCCUAACACAUGCAAGUCGAGCGGAGCGGCGGACGGGCGAGUAAUGCCUAGGAAGCGGCCUGGUAGUGGGGGAUAACGUCCGGAAACGGGCGCUAAUAACGCAUACUAGCAGAUGAGCCUAGGUCGGAUUAGCUAGUUGGUGGGGUAAAGGCCUACCAAGGCGACGAUCCGUAACUGGUCUGAGAGGAUGAUCAGUCACACUGGAACUGAGACACGGUCCAGACUCCUACGGGAGGCAGCAGUGGGGAAUAUUGCACAAUGGGCGCAAGCCUGAUGCAGCCAUGCCGCGUGUGUGAAGAAGGCCUUCGGGUUGUAAAGCACUUUCAGCGGGGAGGCGUUACCCGCAGAAGAAGCACCGGCUAACUCCGUGCCAGCAGCCGCGGUAAUUC